AGAGAGAGAGAGAGAGAGAGAGAGAGAUUUGAUCCAUCAUCGUUGCAGUCAGAAAGAAAGAGCUGAAAAUAAUUGAGGUUUGGUUUUGUUUUGGAAGAGGUUCCGUUUCAGUUGAGAGAGGGAGAGACAGAAACACUUUGAUCUGCUGCGUUGGUUGCUUUGAGAUACAGAGGUUGGGUUGAAAACGAGUACGAAAUCUCACCAUCUACGGGGACCAGAGAAUCUCACUGUUUUUGCUUCUUUCAUUGGUUAAUCUGAGCAGGUUUAAAACAGAAUGUUAGCUAAAGUGUCAAAGCUCCAGAGUUUAAAGUCAAGGUUAUGGCACCGAGAAUCCAAUGGACAAGAACAAAAAGGUUGUUAGAAGAAAAUCAUGAUGAAGGUCAAGGUACUGAAAAAAGAAUGGAAGAGGUCUACGAUGGUAAUAGUUUUUCUGCCUCAGUAACUGAAGCUGAAAGGACUUUUUCUACUAGAGGAACAAAUUCCAAAAUUCGAUCAAGAAGCUGGAAACAAACGUCUGAACCAGCAAUCACAAAAAAUAGUCAGCGUACUCAAAAGUGAUGAAGUAGCAAACAAUCUGGAUGAGCAUCGUGACAAACGAGUGAGAAAUAAUUAGAAAGGUCUUA